AUGACACCACCAAAGGUUUUCACUCAGCAAAACACAGAGCAGCAACCCACACAAAGGUGCCAGAUACACAGUGGAGAAAUAGUACCUCCAGGACUGCUGCCUGCCUUGUGUUGGGUGCCUCUGAGAAAUGGAAGAGAUCCCCCUUCUGGAGGAUGCAGUUUGGGCUUGGUAGGGGGAACCCAGGUUGGCUGGACAUCAGUGCCUCACACUAUCCCUUCCCCACCCCAACACCUAAGCAUGGGGCUGCAGCACGCAGUGACCACGGGCGACACAAGGCCUCAGGUCCACGUAAAAGGGCAGCUUCUCCCCAAAGCUUCUGCAGCCUGGACACUUCCCUCUGGAGCAACGUUUCCUCUAAAUCCCUUGGACCUCUCAUCACCAUGCAACCACAUCUCAUGAUAAACAGCCAGGGUUGUUUCCAGAGACGCAGGGUGCGGCUUCUGCUGAUUUUCCUUGGGAGAACCCAUCUGGUGCUCACGUUUUCAUCUCACAGCUGGGGUGGGAGGCUUGACAGCAGGUGACACAGUGUCCAAAAUGGGCAUGGUUGGAGGCCCACGUGGAUGUGGGGUCCUGGCAUCUUAGAGGAAGAUGCUAUUCAACCCUUUGUGCCCUCCCCACGGCACAGCAGCCAGGCACACCUCAAAAUAAAAUGCCGGCCAGGGUUACCUCUGACUUUCACAGCCAACACAGAGAGUCGGGACACAUCUCUCAUUAAGUAACUCCAGUGAGGGGGUUUCGGCGCCACCCACUGGAAAUCCUACCGGCCACCACUGGGUGGGGAGAAGCGAGUGAAAUGUGUGAACUGAAAUGUGCUAAUGUGGCAGGGACCCCCGAGCCUGUCCUUCAUGGAGCCCUGAGAGCAGAACACUAUCUGGUAGCCCAGGUUGGACACAAAACACCAGGAGCAGGGACCGCUGUUGAGGGCAAAGGCAACUCACCUGUGAGAAAAAUACACUCAUUUGAAUAAAUUUGUUAGGCCUUCCCAGGUGGUGCUAGAGGUAAAGAACCCACCUGCCAAAGCAAGAGACAUAAGAGAUGAGAGUUCAGUCCUUGGGUGGGGAAGAUCCCCUGGAGGAGGACAUGACAACUCACUCCAGUAUUCUUGCUUAGAGAAUCCCAUGGACAAAGGAGCCUGGGGGCUACAGUCCCUGGGGUCCAUGGUGUCCCAAAGUUGGACACAACUGGGCUGACAGACACACACAGGAGGAAGAAGUAGCUGCGGUGGCCAGAGAACCCCAGAAGCACUAGAGACCUGGCUCUGGUGGGAGUGGUCUGGGUCUGAGCCCUUCUGAGGAAGACCCUGGGAUGGGUGAGUCUUCAGCAGAGCAUAACCAUCCACAGUCAGAGAUCCAGAGGCUCCUGGAGUCAAGGUCAGGGACAUGGGUCUCCUAGCCGGCACCUGGGACUGCUUUGAGGGGAAGCUUGAGACCCAAAGACUAAGAGGGAGGGGUCGGGGUGGGGCAGGGCUGCACCAGCGGUCAAAAUGGGCAACAGAGGCAGAAUCUGAGGCCAUCUGCAAGUGUUCGGGCUGAUGAAGAAGAGGACUGACCAAGGAGGGUAAACAGGCAACGCCCCCAUCAGCAACCUCCCUCCAAGCUGAUGUGGUGCCCGCCCCCCAGCACUGUCCUGAGCCACAGACCCUCGUCCAAACUCUAGCUCAGGCUCUCUGACCUAUCCAGCCUGGCUGCACCCAGCACAGGGCAAGUGGCCAGCAGAGGGGCAGACCCAACACUUGUGUCAGUACCAAGGACAGCGCAUGGCCAGCUCAGUCACCAUUCCUGAAGAGGACCAUCUGUUUGCUGCUGGAACCAACCAGAGGGAACCGACAAGCCCAGAUCCAGGCAUCCGUGCACUCCAGCAGUCUGGGCCUGGGCUUGCUCUCAGGUGGAGAGACCAGCUUUUCUCCUGUGAAGGCUGACGGUGGUCCUGGCAGGGUCUGAAGUCCACUCUCGGUCCUGGGGUGCCCUCCUGUGCCACACCCCUUUCUCAGCCUUUCUGAGCUGUGCUGAGUUCUCCUGAGUUGUUCAUGGCAUGCGCUAAUGCAGGGCUGGGAGCUAUUCUUGGUUAGCUUCCUAUCACCACAGGGCCGUGUCUUUUUUAGUCACUGAUUAGCACUGACCACGAUCUGAGUGCUUUGGGGUACAAACCCUGUGACUGCCUCUGCCAUGCUGUUCCAUCUCCAAAUCUCAUGCUCGGCAAUGUGGUCUUUCUCCCUGAACAGAAGCUGUUGCAAUAUAUUCUCCUAUGGAGCCCUGCACUUCCUGGGGAAUGUCAUGAGAAUAACGGAUCCUCUGGGAUGUGUCUCAAGUUCCUGGAAUACGUAGGGGAUGGUGAUGGUGUUCAGGGAUGCAAGAUGCAGGGGGGCCAGCACCGUGCCCCAGUCCCCCACCCACCUCUCUGUUCCCUGAAAUCUGCCCUGGACACACACUGCUGACACAUCCGUGCUGUUUGAGCCAAAGCAGUGCAAUUCCAGCUCCACACACGGCAGGCGCCCUCUUCUUUGGCACCUGUUCUUAUAGAUGCUGCCCACUCACCCCCUGCUGCUCCCACUCAGGAGCCUCUGCCCUGGCCAUCCACCUGAGAUGCUCAGGGCCUUCCCGAUGUCCUGCCCUUCAGCCCACUCUAGGCUCCGAGCCCCCUGACGGCCCAGCUCUGUCCUUCUCUCGUCACUAUCCUCAAGCCAGGUCCUUCACUUCUACCUGUUCUCCUGGCCCUGUCACAACCACAGACCCUGCUGCACACUGAGGACACCCACAACCUCUAUGUUCAGCCUGCCUGAUUGGUGGAUUCCCCAAAGCCCCCCUCCAAGUCCCAGGCCUCCCCGUUUAUCACUCACAAGGUGCCGGGGUCCAGCCCCACUGGAUCCAGGGAAUUCGAAGCAGGGACGGCGUUGGCAAGGAGAGACUUAUAUAUUUAUUAAUAUAGAAAUAUAAGAGUAGAUUAGGAAGAAAUAGUAUAGUAGGAAAUUUAGGUGGAGAAAAAGAGGCUGAAUAACUUGGUUUACGGGGAAAACCAAUAAAGUUCCAGACAAGGAGCUUGCACCAUCUACGUUAGGCCACGGUGCCCACUUGAAUAUCGAAGUGUGCCCCACCUUAGGCUCCCUUUCGCAUGGGUCUUAGCAGCCAGGGCAAGUAAGUAGACAUGGUGAGCCUCCCCGCUCCAGAUGGGAAUUCAGCCAAAAAAGGGGAGAAAAGAAUGACAUGGGGAAGCCCAGCAUCGGUGCAAGACUCCAAAAACUUUAUUUUUCAAAAUCAGCUUUGUUAUGCCCAAGGUCCCAAUCCCCAGAACUGAGAGAACAAGACAUCCACAGCAAUGCAAACGCAAAAAGGGAAUUUAUUGCUAGCUUGAGCCAGGGCCCAAGUUGCCCCAAGCCCUGAACUGCAGCAGUAUUUAUAGGGUUAAGACAAAGACAGGGAGUUGGCAGGGGCGGAUUGGUUGCAAGGCUUCCUUAACAUCUGCUAAUUGGCUAGACUUUCGCGCGCGCGGGCUUUCUGGGGGGCGGGGGGGAGGCGGGGGGGGGGGGGGGGGGGGGGGGGGGGGGGGGGGGGUUCAGGAUGGGGAACACGUGUACACCCGUGGC
ensembl:lincRNA